rnacentral:piRNA from 1 species
UCUUUGUGGAUAUAAUGGGCACU